rnacentral:rRNA from 1 species
UACGUAUGGGGCAAGCGUUGUUCGGAUUUACUGGGCGUAAAGGGCGCGUAGGCGGCGCAACAAGUCACUUGUGAAAUCUCCGGGCUUAACCCGGAGCGGCCAAGUGAUACUGUCGUGCUAGAGUGCGGAAGGGGCUACUGGAAUUCUCGGUGUAGCGGUGAAAUGCGUAGAUAUCGAGAGGAACACCUGCGGCGAAGGCGGGUAGCUGGGCCGACACUGACGCUGAGGCGCGAAAGCCAGGGGAGCGAACGGG